GAUUGUGUAGGGACUCCCCUCGCUAUCCUUCCUGUAUACCACCCUUGUCUUUUGCGCACUCAUGUUUCCUCGGCAGGCUUGCCUGCCGGUUGGACAAAAAUUAUAACCUUUUUCAUUUUCAAUCAGCGUCUGAAAUAAUUUUAAUAAUUACAACUUUCAACAACGGAUCUCUUGGUUCUGGCAUCGAUGAAGAACGCAGCGAAAUGCGAUAAGUAGUGUGAAUUGCAGAAUUCAGUGAAUCAUCGAAUCUUUGAACGCACAUUGCGCCCCUUGGUAUUCCAUGGGGCAUGCCUGUUCGAGCGUCAUUUGUACCUUCAAGCUCUGCUUGGUGUUGGGUGUUUGUCCUUUCCCUGCGAUUGGACUCGCCUUAAAGUCAUUGGCAGCCAGUGUUUUGGUUUUGAAGCGCAGCACAAGUCGCGAUUCAAGCCGGUAGCACCAGCUUCCAUCAAGCCUUUUUUAUCACUUUUGACCUCGGAUCAGGUAGGGAUACCCGCUGAACUUAAGCAUAUCAAAAGCCCGGAGGAAA
rnacentral:rRNA from 1 species